CGUUCGUCGCAGCCACACGCAGUCAAGAGCUGGCGCUUGUGAAUUCAUUCUAGGAACACGCUUUUGGAACGUUUCAACUCUCUACGAUCUGAGAUGGCGAAGAAAGAGCAAGCCGCUGUUGUCGAGUGCGCGCAGGAGCUGCGCAGAGUCGGAGAUCUGCUCAGCUGGAAAUACAGGUUGCUGGAGCUCAUAACAACACUCCAGAAACAACAGACGGACGGAAAAAGCUGAAAACGACAGUGUUUGGGAAGGAAUCUGUGAAUACUGAACCAACGUGGACCCAACAUCUCAAGAGGAUUCAUAUCCGAAGACGAGGUUCGUCGUCUUCCAAAAACAACAACAACAACAACAACAACAAAAAAGUUGAACAGGAAUAUGGUCUUCCAAGAUGAAGACGUGGAUACGAUGGUCCUUGUGGACUUAGAAACACCGUAGAUCAUUUCUGGGCUCUUCUGAGCCAUAUUUAUCUCUGGUCGGUUUCUCUGAGGGGGUUUGAACUGUUUGUCAGCAGGAAGAGUUUUCAUUCAUGAAGUCGAAUGGUGGAGAUCUUUACAAAUGGACUUUUGCUUAUUCAUUCUCAUAUAUUCUCAUAAGACUGUAAAAGUAGAGAUGCUGUGAAAUAGAUGCCCUGUUUUGUAGCAUACUUAUGGAUAUUUGUUUGUGUAACAUAUAGGCCUAGCCUAAUAAAUUGCAACCUAUUUCAGUUUCAGACGUGGAAACUUGACUCCAUUUAGCUAAUAAAAAAUGACCUGGAGACCAAUUUGGGUUAAAAAUAUAUGUAAUGUGUUUUUUUUUUUUUUAGGAAAAACUCAAAACAACUUUGAAUAUGUUGUUUGCAGGUGUCACUUUAUGAUAUUUCAUAAGUAAUGCGGUGACAUUCAUUUAAACGGUGACUUACUUGUCCAAAUUCUAUUUAGGGACCGCUCUUUAUUUAUGAAUUUUUUUCUGAGGACCUGCAGUUGCAUUUAAAUUAUUUUUUGUUGAAUGAUCCCCAAUGUGCAAAUUAUGUAGGCCUAUGUUAAGGAGUUGCCUGUUUUAAAGAAGUAUCAAUUUAAGCCAUUUAAAUUAUUAUAUUUAUAUAUAAAGUUAAAGUUUGGGGCACAAAUUGUCCCGGUGAUAUAUAUAGGCUAUUUAUGAUGUGUAAAUCUAUAAUACUUAUAGGCAACACUUUUUAAGUGAUCACAAUGUAAAUGUUCCUACAGUAUAUCUCAAUUUACUGUCAAAGCAAUUGAAAUGUUUAAUACUUGCUGACUAAUGUUCAUUGUUUUCUGAAACAAAUUAAAUAUAAUCAAGAC
rnacentral:lncRNA from 1 species